UGGUUGAAACGAAUACCACAUAUAACAUCAUCAUGACGUUCGAACGGGCAAGUGUUUGUUGUUGUCUAACCGAAUGCCAUGGAAAUGCGUACAUGAGUUAUGUUCGAGUCGAGUAGCCGCGUAUUCGAUUUAGUUGCGUUGCGCUUCAAAUGUGUGGAAAAACAACAAACAAACAUUUCCUACGAUAGCCGUGGAUUUUGUGUUAUUUUCGGGGGCAAGCCAAAGUAAAGCUAUGUUAGCUGUGUUGUUUUCUCAUGAGUACAAACAUUUAAAUGAGUACAAACAUUUAAAUGAGUACAAACAUUUUGAUGAAAUAAAACCCGAAAUUUUAAUACUUUCUAACUUUACUCGCAAAAUUCACACACCUUGUGCAAAAAUCUCUGGACAGUGGAACGCAUUGCAACAGGUUCCUUUUGGCCUGCAGGCACAAAAUAAAAGCGCAAGCAUAAUAAUUAUACUGGCCAAGAGACCGACUACCACACAGUGCGCAACCACAAUAAAGUUAAGAGAAACAGGAAAUUUUUGUACGAUAACUUGUAAGACAUUUCAUAACCUGACAUAAAUCGUAAAUAUGACGAACGCACAAAGAAAAGGAGUCAAUAAACAACAAAAAAAAAAACAACAAAACAAAGCGGAAUAAGCUACUUAUAAGGGGUGUGGCAAACAGCUGAUGGCACAAAGUGAAAACUGAAGUAACCAGCGAACUGGACAUUGUCUAGCGAACACCCUUUUGGCUAGCUGGGGCAUUGUACCUCCUGUUACUCCCAUACUCCGAAAGGGGCCCCGCGUACAGCAAUUUAGUGAAAAUGAAACUUGCAACUCGCGCUUGUUGUUGAUGUGUCUUAUGGCUCGAAUGUGUGGCAGGCAGCGUGAUAAAUGCGGUUAUAAAAACCUGCAAUCAAGCGGCUUACCAAACGAAAGUGAAACAAAAGUGCCGACAAACCAACUCAACCAACAACCAACCGACUAAACAACCAACAACCGACCAAACAACAACAAUCCGAACUGAGCCGAGCAUCGGGCGAAAAACUUGCAAUUUCCAUUUUAAUACUCAACAACUUUCGGCUAGAGGCAGGCCAAAGGAAUCUCGAAUCGCGAGUCGUUUCCACAAUCACAGCGAAACAUGAAGUGGAUGCCAUAUUGCGGCACAGCCGCAGACUCCGCUGAAUGGAAUAACAAAGCGCUGAGACGCCCCUGAGAUUAAAACGAGCCACAAUCCCAGACACACCACACAAGAGUUACCCACCCUUUCAGCCCUCGCUGCGAGGCGCUGUAUCUUCGUUGUCUGAUGGAUCGUAUAGUCUGGGCUUGAUUGGCGCUACCAAGGAGCACAGCGUCGAGCCACAGCGGCGGGCGGAGCUCUGUUGGUAAAGCUGAUAGCUCAGCUUUUUGGAGGCCGUUCCUCUUAAAAUCAAGAUGUUCGACACCUGCUUGACCUGGCUGCGCAUUUGAUGGAUGGCACAGUCCCAGACUUGAGUGAGACCUCUGCAAGAGUCAAGCAACUGCCAAGCGCAAACAUAUUGGUGUGAAAUUAUUUGUUUUGCGAACUCAAAGAUCUCUCUUUGAGCGGGAGUCUCGAGUCGAAGAGUUCAAUGGACGUGGCGCGUACACACAGAAGGGUCUUUUAUAUCUUCAUUUUUAUGGACAGUUAAACAAUUAUAUUUGGUAUUUACAGCCAGUUGACUGGGCAGGCAGGUGAAAUGCCUGCAUGAGGCAGAUUUAAAGAUGAUGCAAUGCAACAGUCGAGAGGGGGAGGAAGGGGGCAAGUGGAAAGGCAGCAUGGUGGGUACCAACUGCAAUGCCAGGAGCAAACGAGCUGGGCCUUGCCACUUUCGUUUUUCGUCUUGGGCAUUCGCAACUUUCCAAAUAUCAGAGCUAACUAUUUAUUGGCGUUGCUGCUUCUGGCCGGUCACGUAGUUUUAUGCGGCCAAGCUGACCAUUAAAAAAUUCUCGGGACCACACCUCCGCACAGCCGACAAUUAAUUUAUGAGGUCUGUCCCGGGCUCGGCAUAAAUCACAAGGGAAUACUGCAGUCGCAAUUCUCGCCAAGCGUCGUGCAUGAAUUUAAUCAAAAUUUUCAUAAGUCGCAAUGCAAUAUGCACCCAUGCCCAGCGCCUAAAUAUAGCUCCCAGCUGACGUCAAAUGCUUCCCCGGAUAGCCAGAUGCAAUCUAAGCCGCCGGCACGCAUCGACAGCUCAGCCGUCAUGCCAGCCAUGUUGAGCAUCAGGUUUUAAAUGCUGUCAUGCUUCCGAUUACAGCUGGCGAGAUUUGCGGCAUAAUCCGUACACAAUUGAAUCAAAUUUUUAGUUUAGAGAGCAUGAUUUUUGACCGAAUAAUGGUAUAAUGAACUUACAUUGCAAUUACAAUCGAUCGAAAAUAAAAUUUCAUAUCCUUGUUCUUAAAUAUAUUGCAAAAAUCAGCCUAAAGGACAAACUAUUUAGCCUAAUUACACUGUCAACAUUUGUGUGAAGUAAAGAAGUGAAUCUGAAGUUUGUAAUUGUAACAUAUUUUGAGCAAAGUGGAGCUAGGCAAUAAAUUAAAUCAAACCGA